AUGGCACCCUCUGCUGGCCUCGUGAUGUCAAUGUCAGGAAGUGUUUCAAUCAGUCUUUCUGUGUUAACCUCCCAGUCAUUAGGGCCUCUGGAGGUCUCCACAGGUUGUUGCAGACUGUGUUCUUCCUCUAUCUGCAGAAUAGCCCUACCCGCAGAGAUGACACAGCCAUUGUUGGCCAACAUUGUGCGAGGCUCCCUCCGUUCUUUGGGCUGUUCAACAGGGUCCCUUUGUGUUGGAGGAGGCUGUGGUACCCCCCUGGCGGCUAUCAGGGCCUCCGCAUGUUCCACCACCUCCUGGCUGAGGCGUGGCAGGUUUCUGUACGCCCAGCGUGUGGCAACUUCAAAGGCCGGCCCCCAGUUUGCAGGUAAGUCCACCUCCAACUCCUUCAACAUGGUCUCCAGACUGUCUUUGUAGUGGUUUUCUAGGAUUAACAGCGUGUUGUAACCCCAGUUUUGAGCAUUUCCAUAAAUCAGAUUCAUGGUAGUAUCUGUAGGAAAUGCUGGUUUUAUCAUGGAGCCUAAAUUUUCAACCAUCUUUGUGAUCAUGCGUGGUUCUGGUUUUCCUGGUUUAGGAGCCACAUUUUGGAGAUGGUGAACCAGUUUGAUCACCGGAUACAUUUUGCGUACCAGUUUUCCAAAUACCGGGUCAGUCGGAUCUCGGUUAUUACCUCCACCCUGUCUGAGGUCAAAGGUCACUGAUCUCUGUCUUUUACGUGCAGGUAUGUACCUACCAUCACGCACCACCGCUGCAUAGGAGCGUUUAUGAGGUCGGGGGGCUCGCUCUGAGCCGUGGGGAGGCACUGGCUGGUUAGGAUGGGGGAAGUGUGCCCCUCCUCUGUGAGGAUUGGGCGGUGCACGGUCCAUCCCCCGGUCGUACGCUCGACCCCCGGGUCCCCUGUCCCAGCUGCGUUGGUGGAGAGGUCUGGCUCUCCUACCGUAAUGGACCACAGUCCACUCACCCAUCACGGUAAGUAUUUUUUUAAUUUUGGGUCGCCUUUGUUAUCUAAUAAUAAUAUUUUUUUCAGGUCGCCUUUGUUAUAUAAUAAUAAAUGUUUUUUUUGGUUUUUUUUAAAUUUUUUA
ensembl:lncRNA